rnacentral:rRNA from 1 species
CACGUAGGGUGCGAGCGUUGUCCGGAAUUAUUGGGCGUAAAGAGCUCGUAGGCGGUGUGUCGCGUCGGCCGUGAAAACCUGCAGCUUAACUGUGGGCUUGCGGUCGAUACGGGCAUCACUGGAGUUCGGCAGGGGAGACUGGAAUUCCUGGUGUAGCGGUGAAAUGCGCAGAUAUCAGGAGGAACACCAAUAGCGAAGGCAGCUCGCUGGGACGUUACUGACACUGAGGCGCGAAAGCGUGGGGAGCGAACAGG